CGGAAGAUACAACAAGCACGCGGCAAUUGCUUAGAGACAUCCACAGGACAUGCGACAAACACAGAUACCUAGUAAAGAACAUUGCAUAUUGGAGGAGACUGAAAAGGAUUUUUAAGGGCUUGCCAUACGGCGUAAUCUAGAUCGUUCUAACCGACAGCGGAAGAUACAACAAGCUCAGAAUAGCUUGGAGACAUCCACAGGCCAUGGGACAAACACAGAUACCUAGAAAGGAUGAUUGCACCCUUGAGGAGACCACAUAGGAUUCUUAAGGUUCUGUAUCAUUAAAGAGGCUGCAUAAACUUCAUCCAGUCACCUUAAAUGGCAGCUGCUGUACCGUCGCCCCUAGUCAGCAGCGCAGAGAAGACAAACGGAGCCAAGCUGAGCAGACUUCUGAUAGAUGGCGGAACAACGGUUCUGAGGAACGCUUUUGAUAACUACCAUCCUCCUGCAAAUCUGGCUGCUGAUCUUAACGUGCAAUUUAAAACCCUGCGAAGUCUCCUGCGUCGACGAAUCCUCAAUAAAUGCCAAUGGGAUAAACUGUUCCCUUCUAGUGGAGCCAAGCCAGACUCCAACUCUUUCGACAUCACUCUUCUAUUCUUGCUUUUGACUAACAUUUGUGGAUUAUCCCCUCCUCUGUCAGGUUGGCACACCAAGCCACCCCCAAGUGACACCUCCUUUGAGGCAAACCUUGCUCGCAUUAAGUUUUUCCGCAAUG